GAUGAUAUGAGGAGAAAAUGAUGACUCCCCCUGGAACCACACAUAGGUUGAAGGUCAGGUGAAUCCGUGUGGAUGUGGAGUUCAUCUCACUGUUGAGGGAGCCCCAAGGAACAAAAGGCCCCAGCAGUGGGAGUUUUUCCCUCUUCCCCCUGAUAAAGAGCAUUUAGCGGAAGUUUCUGAAAAAGACCUCAACCAAAGCCUUGGAUAAAAGGAAGGAAGGUGUCUGGGCUAGGAAUGUAAGUAUGAGAAAGAUCUCCACCAUGACUAGUAGGAGGAGGGGCCUGAGACCCCGAUUGCAGCUCCCUUCAGACGGCUGUGCAGCUAUGGGCAGGAAGUACCGUGAGAGCAGUGCCCCUCGCAACCCCCGUGAGGCUUGCCACGUGGUGCCUUUGUGUUAACCUAUGGGUGGGCCUGAAACAUCACAUGUCUUAGACAUGAAUCACUGAGGCUGCUCCAGGGACCUCUGAAGACCUGGAUCAUGGGCUACUUUGUCCCUUCUCUCCGCACCAAUAGGCCUCUUUCCCAAAUGCAGAUUAUCAGCUUGUGGAAAUAGAUGCCUAUGAAUCAGCGGCCCUAUCCAGACAUACCUGAACCUGGAUGGAUUGAGCACCACCCACAAGUCCUCUGCCAGGUGUUCACUGAGUGGACUGCCCUUGCUUCUCUCCACUUAAAUUUCAUUCUCCAUCUCUGACAUCUCCACUAAGUUCUCACAAAUACCUCAAUGCAGUAUACACUGCUGCCUCAUGUUCAAUAUGUCCAGAAAGGUAUUUAACCCAUCACUACCCAUGCAAAAAAUAAAAAAGUAAAAAACCUGCUUUCCUCCUAACAUCUGACUUUUAAUGACAAUUUUGUGUUUCUAAUCACCUGGGGCUUAGAACCUUAGCUACAUUUUGAGUUCACCCCAUUUCCUACCACAUUCCAGCAGUUAUUCAGUAGUUUCUACCUCAUCAAUAUGUCUCAUCUGUUAAAGCCCCACCUGUGCCACAGGUUUUAAUAGCUUUUUUCCAGGCUUAUUACAAUAGUUUCAUUACUCAUUCUAUUGUCAAACCUAUGUGCUAUAUAUACCUUUUGCAGGCAUGUCCUUUCUUACCUCUGAGCCUGUUCAGACUAUUUCUGUUCACACUCUUCCCAUCCUCCAGCCAUUAAGCUAGGUAGUUCUCAUUCAGCCUGUGUGUAUUUGUUGAUCCUCACUUUCUUCCCUGAUCCUUCCCAGGCCUGGGUUAGAUGACACCCUCAGCCCCUGGGUUUGCCCUCACACACUGUACUGUAGCUACCUGAUUUGUUUGUCCCUUGCUUUAGGCAUGAAGCAUGACAGCAGGGACCAUGACAUGAUUAUAGCCUUAGCAACCAACAUGAAGUGUGAUACACAGU
ensembl:lncRNA